CAGGCUGGUGGAAGGUUCUGCAGAUACUCAGUGGAUGUCAGAGCCGCAGCGCCACAUCCAUGGCCUCCCCGAUGUUAAUGGGAAGAGGUACACACUCCAUUCCUGCUCUUCGUCACAGGGAAGGAGAUUGGUGGGAAGCCCGCUCCUUGACAACUGGAGAGACAGGUUACAUUCCCAGCAAUUAUGUGGCUCCAGUUGACUCUAUCCAGGCAGAAGAGUGGUACUUUGGAAAACUUGGCCGAAAAGAUGCUGAGCGACAGCUAUUGUCCUUUGGAAACCCAAGAGGUACCUUUCUUAUCCGCGAGAGUGAAACCACCAAAGGUGCCUAUUCACUUUCUAUCCGUGAUUGGGAUGAUAUGAAAGGAGACCAUGUCAAACAUUAUAAAAUUCGCAAACUUGACAAUGGUGGAUACUACAUUACCACCCGGGCCCAGUUUGAAACACUUCAGCAGCUUGUACAACAUUACUCAGAGAGAGCUGCAGGUCUCUGCUGCCGCCUAGUAGUUCCCUGUCACAAAGGGAUGCCAAGGCUUACCGAUCUGUCUGUCAAAACCAAAGAUGUCUGGGAAAUCCCUCGAGAAUCCCUGCAGUUGAUCAAGAGACUGGGAAAUGGGCAGUUUGGGGAAGUAUGGAUGGGUACCUGGAAUGGAAACACAAAAGUAGCCAUAAAGACUCUUAAACCAGGCACAAUGUCCCCCGAAUCAUUCCUUGAGGAAGCGCAGAUCAUGAAGAAGCUGAAGCACGACAAGCUGGUCCAGCUCUAUGCAGUGGUGUCUGAGGAGCCCAUCUACAU
rnacentral:sRNA from 1 species